rnacentral:rRNA from 1 species
UUGUCCUACGGGACGCAGCAGUGGGGAAUAUUGGGCAAUGGGCGCGAGCCUGACCCAGCAACGCCGCGUGAAGGAAGAAGGCUUUCGGGUUGUAAACUUCUUUUAAGAGGGAAGAGCAGAAGACGGUACCUCUUGAAUAAGCCACGGCUAACUACGUGCCAGCAGCCGCGGUAAUACGUAGGUGGCAAGCGUUGUCCGGAUUUACUGGGUGUAAAGGGAGCGCAGGCGGCACGGCAAGCCUGAUGUGAAAGCCCGCGGCCCAACCGCGGGACUGCAUUGGGAACUACCGGGCUGGAGUGCCGGAG